rnacentral:rRNA from 1 species
UACGUAGGGGGCGAGCGUUGUCCGGAUUUACUGGGCGUAAAGCGCACGUAGGCGGAUAUUUAAGUCAGGGGUGAAAUCCCGGGGCUCAACCCCGGAACUGCCUUUGAUACUGGGUAUCUGGAGGUCGAGAGAGGCGAGUGGAAUUCCGAGUGUAGAGGUGAAAUUCGUAGAUAUUCGGAGGAACACCAGUGGCGAAGGCGGCUCGCUGGCUCGAUACUGACGCUGAGGUGCGAAAGCGUGGGGAGCAAACAGG